UUGAUUCAUCAUGAGAAGUUCAUUGACUUGAUCUACAAUUGCAUAAGCAGAAACUUAUUGGCUUUCAAUAAGCAGAGCAAUGGCCAGAUGUUUCCUGAAGAUGGCACAUCUUAGGUGAGGGAACUAGGUGAAUUGCUCUGUUUUGAAGAAAACAGUUAUAUGAGAAGUAAGGAAGGCAGGUUUCAACAUUAACGGCAUUGUGGGUAUUA